rnacentral:snoRNA from 1 species
AACUCAUGAUGAGGGCACCUUCUUAAAAGAUCUUUAUAUCUCUCCCAUGCAUCGUACACUGUCUCAAUAUCAAACUGAAAAAAAGAUGAGAUGUCAUUCCUCAACUU